rnacentral:lncRNA from 1 species
GUGUACACUCUUCAGGACAAGGUGGCGGGCGAGGGAGGCGUGCCGGGUGGCUGAGUGGAGCGUGUCCGCCUGUGCUGAGGCCGUGGGGUCCUGUUUUGUGUUUGGCAUCGCUGUGUUCGCGAGUGGGAAACAGGCCGGAGCGUGGCGAAGACGGUAAGCUUGGCUGGUCCACCUCCCCCGUGCCAAGCCAGUUGUUGUAGGCUAUGAGGGUUGGUGUGGAAAUACCAUCCCAAUGACUGUGUUCGGUCGGGCCGCGGCCCGGCCAGGGACAUGGACGCGGUUGGUGCGUCCGGCGUGCUUGGAUCGAUGAUGAGUCCUCCAAUAACAUUCCUUGGAAAAGCUGAACAAAAUGAGUGAAAACCCACUACCGUCUCGCUCAUCGUGACUGAGGUCCAGCACGUUGGCAGAGGCAGAGGCAGAGUUGGCAGGGGCCAGGGAGAGCUGCCGGGGCUUCCAAUACUUGUCUUCCCCAUGAACGAAUUCCUAGGCCCAGCCGAUGCCGAAUGGUGGGCUAUGGCCCCGUCCAUGUGCGUGUGGCCGCUGGGUAUGAUUGUCUGAGCCGAAUCAGAAUCUCAGCAGAGCCAGGCCUGCUGGGGGAACAACAGGUGUGAGGUGUCCAAGCGCCCUGUUUUAAAAGGUUAGGAUGACUUGGAGGUAUGAGGUGGCCUGGAGAGGGCUAGCCCUGGCCCUCCCCUUCUUAGAGGACCAAUGGUUGAGGGUGCAGUAGAGAUUCUUGCAGCGGUCAUCGGGGUGGAGUGUGGAGGUUGUAGGGGAGGACAGGUACAAGGCGGAUGUGGAAAAUUGCAGCAGGCAUACCCCGGGUGAAGCCUAGAAGGUGCGGAAAGGGAGGUCUAUAGCAAACUAUCCUCCCAAGAUGGCGCACCCAAGUUCCCCAUGUGUGUGGAACUAGCCCCCAGGUGUGGGAUUGUGGAUCAGCUCUCUGUGGAUUGGGGAUGCAGGACAGUGUAUGGUGAGCAUUGGGGAGUAUAGACAGCCGACAGGAAGCUGGCAUCCCUGUGUUCGCGACUGGGAAACAGACCGGAGCGUGGCGAAGACGGUAAGCUUGGCUGGUCCACCUCCCCUUGCCAAGCCAUUUGUUGGAGUCACUGAGGGUUGGUGUGGAAAUACCGUCCCUGUGACUGUGCUCGGUUGGGCCGCGUCCCGGCCAGGGGCGUGGACGCGGUUGGUGUGUCCGGCGUGCUUGGAUGGAUGAUGAGUCCUCCAAUAACAUUCCUUGGAAAAGCUGAACAAAAUGAGUGAAAACCCACUACCGUCUCGCUCAUCGUGACUGAGGUCCAGCACGUUGGCAUAGACAGAGACAGAGGUGGCAGGGGCCAGGGAGAGCUGCCGGGGCUUCCAAUACUUGUCCUCCUCAUGGGCGAAUUCCUAGGCCAGGCCGAUGCCCACAGCUGAUCUGUGGUUGUCUCUUAUACACAUCUNUGUCAGGUGCGGAAUGCGAGGCCUGUAGCGAACUAUCCUCCCAAGAUGGCGCGCGCAAGUUCUCCGGGUGUGUGGCCGUACCCCCAGAUGUGCGGUUCUCGAUUAGCUCUCUGUAUAUUGGGGAUGCAGGAGAGUAUAUCCUGAGCAUUGAGGAUUUUCCUCAGGCUACAGGAAGCUGGCAUCAGAGAGAAGGGUCCUGGCACCGGGCCUUUGUUCUCAUGGUUGCUUGUCGUUUGUGUGCACUCUUCAGGAGGAGGCGACGAGCGCGAAGGCUUCCUGUUGGCUGAUUGGAGCGUGCCCACCUCUGCUGAGGCCCUUGGGUCCUUUUUUCUGUUUGGCAUCCCUGUGUUCAUGAAUGGGACAAAGGCCGGUGCGUGGUCAAGAUGGUAAGCUUGGUUUGUCCACCUCCACCACGUCAAGCGAGUUGUUGGAGGAUAUGCAGGAUUGGCGUGGAAAUACCGCCCCCCAAAUGUGCUCGGUCGGGCCCAGGCCCGGCCAGGUUCGUGGACGCGGUUGGUGCGUCCGGCGUGCUUGGAUCGAUGAUGAGUCCUCCAAUAACAUUCCUUGGAAAAGCUGAACAAAAUGAGUGAAAACCCACUACCGUCUCGCUCAUCGUGACUGAGGUCCGGCACGUUGGCAUAGACAGAGACAGAGGUGGCAGGGGCCAGGGAGAGCUGCCGGGGCUUCCAAUACUUGUCUUCCCCAUGAACGAAUUCCUAGGCCCAGCCGAUGUCGAAUGGUGGGCUAUGGCCCCGUCCAUGUGCGUGUGGCCGCUGGGUAUGAUUGUCUGAGCCGAAUCAGAAUCUCAGCAGAGCCAGGCCUGCUGGGGGAACAACAGGUGUGAGGUGUCCAAGCGCCCUGUUUUAAAAGGUUAGGAUGACUUGGAGGUAUGAGGUGGCCUGGAGAGGGCUAGCCCUGGCCCUCCCCUUCUUAUAGGACCAGUGGUUGAGGGUGCAGUAAACAUUCUUGCAGCGGUCAUCGGGGUGGAGUGUGGAGGUUGUAGGGGAGGACAGGUACAAGGCGGAUGUGGAAAAUUGCAGCAGGCAUACCCCGGGUGAAGCCUAGAAGGUGCGGAAAGGGAGGUGUAUAGCAAACUAUCCUCCCAAGAUGGCGCACCCAAGUUCCCCGGGUGUGUGUGGAUCUAGCCCCCAGGUGCGGGAUUGUGGAUCAGUUCUGUGUGGAUUGGGGAAGCAAGACAGUGUGUGGUGAGCAUUGGGGAGUAUACUGAGCCGAGAGGAAGCUGGCAUCGGAGAGGAGAGCCUUGGCACCGGGCCAUUGUUCUCAUGGUUGCUUUUCAUUUGUGUACACUCUUCAGGACAAGGUGGCGGGCGAGGGAGGCGUGCCGGGUGGCUGAGUGGAGCGUGUCCGCCUGUGCUGAGGCCGUGGGGUCCUGUUUUGUGUUUGGCAUCGCUGUGUUCGCGAGUGGGAAACAGGCCGGAGCGUGGCGAAGACGGUAAGCUUGGCUGGUCCACCUCCCCCGUGCCAAGCCAGUUGUUGUAGGCUAUGAGGGUUGGUGUGGAAAUACCAUCCCAAUGACUGUGUUCGGUCGGGCCGCGGCCCGGCCAGGGACAUGGACGCGGUUGGUGCGUCCGGCGUGCUUGGAUCGAUGAUGAGUCCUCCAAUAACAUUCCUUGGAAAAGCUGAACAAAAUGAGUGAAAACCCACUACCGUCUCGCUCAUCGUGACUGAGGUCCAGCACGUUGGCAGAGGCAGAGGCAGAGUUGGCAGGGGCCAGGGAGAGCUGCCGGGGCUUCCAAUACUUGUCCUCCUCAUGGGCGAAUUCCUAGGCCAGGCCGAUGCCCACAGCUGAUCUGUGGCUCCGUCCAUGUGCGUGUGGCCGCUGGGCAUUUUGGCUGAGCCGAAUCAGGUGCUCGAAGGGGCCAUGCCUACUCGGGCAACAGAGAUGUGAGGUGUCCAAGCGCCCUGUUUUAAAAGGUUAGGAUGACUUGGAGGUAUGAGGUGGCCUGGAGAGGGCUAGCCCUGGCCGUCCCCUUCUUAGAGGACCAAUGGUUGAGGGUGCAGUAGACAUUCUUGCAGCGGUCAUCGGGGUGGAGUGUGGAGGUUGUAGGGGAGGACAGGUACAAGGCGGAUGUGGAAAAUUGCAGCAGGCAUACCCCGGGUGAAGCCUAGAAGGUGCGGAAAGGGAGGUCUAUAGCAAACUAUCCUCCCAAGAUGGCGCACCCAAGUUCCCCGUGUGUGUGGUUCCAGCCCCCAGGUGCGGGAUUGUGGAUCAGUUCUGUGUGGAUUGGGGAAGCAAGACAGUGUGUGGUGAGCAUUGGGGAGUAUACUGAGCCGACAGGAAGCUGUCAUCGGAUAGGAGAGCCUUGGCACCGGGCCAUUGUUCUCAUGGUUGCUUUUCAUUUGUGUACACUCUUCAGGACAAGGUGGCGGGCGAGGGAGGCGUGCCGGGUGGCUGAGUGGAGCGUGUCCGCCUGUGCUGAGGCCGUGGGGUCCUGUUUUGUGUUUGGCAUCGCUGUGUUCGCGAGUGGGAAACAGGCCGGAGCGUGGCGAAGACGGUAAGCUUGG